rnacentral:rRNA from 1 species
GACGAACGCUGGCGGCGUGCCUAACACAUGCAAGUCGAACGGAAAGGCCUGCUUUCCCUUGUGGAUUGCGGGUACUCGAGUGGCGAACGGGUGAGUAACACGUGAGUGAUCUGCCCCCAACUUGGGUAUAAGCCUGGGAAACUGGGUCUAAUUCCCGAUAGGACUGCAGGGUGGUGCCUGUGGUGGAAAACGAUUUUCUAGUGGUUGGGGAUGAGCUCGCGGCCUAUCAGCUUGUUGGUGGGGUAAUGGCCUACCAAGGCGGCGACGGGUAGCCGGCCUGAGAGGGUGGACGGCCACAUUGGGACUGAGAUACGGCCCAGACUCCUACGGGAGGCAGCAGUGGGGAAUAUUGCACAAUGGGCGGAAGCCUGAUGCAGCGACGCCGCGUGGGGGAUGACGGCCUUCGGGUUGUAAACUCCUUUCGACCGCGAGGAAGCCACCUGGUUGGAAGGGUGGUGACGGUAGUGGUAGAAGAAGCACCGGCUAACUACGUG